UGCAGCAACGCCGCGUGAGGGAUGACGGCCUUCGGGUUGUAAACCUCUUUUAGUAGGGAAGAAGGGCAUCGGCUUGACGGUACCUGCAGAAAAAGCACCGGCUAACUACGUGCCAGCAGCCGCGGUAAUACGUAGGGUGCGAGCGUUGUCCGGAAUUAUUGGGCGUAAAGAGCUCGUAGGCGGUUUGUCACGUCUGCUGUGAAAUCCCGAGGCUCAACCUCGGGCCUGCAGUGGGUACGGGCAGACUGGAGUGCGGUAGGGGAGAAUGGAAUUCCUGGUGUAGCGGUGGAAUGCGCAGAUAUCAGGAGGAACACCGAUGGCGAAGGCAGUUCUCUGGGCCGUAACUGACGCUGAGGAGCGAAAGCGUGGGGAGCGAACAGGAUUAGAUACCCUGGUAGUCCACGCCGUAAACGUUGGGCGCUAGAUGUGGGGACCUUUCCACGGUUUCCGUGUCGUAGCUAACGCAUUAAGCGCCCCGCCUGGGGAGUACGGCCGCAAGGCUAAAACUCAAAGGAAUUGACGGGGGCCCGCACAAGCGGCGGAGCAUGCGGAUUAAUUCGAUGCAACGCGAAGAACCUUACCAAGGCUUGACAUAACCGAGAACGCCGCAGAAAUGUGGAACUC
rnacentral:rRNA from 1 species